GAAUCGUCCAAACGUUGUUCGGAUUCACUGGGUUUAAAGGGCGCGUAGGCGGUGCGUUAAGUCGGCGGUGAAAUACUUCGGCUCAACCGGAGAAUUGCCGCUGAAACUGGCGUGCUCGAGGGAGGUAGAGGUGUGUGGAACUUCCGGUGGAGCGGUGAAAUGCGUUGAUAUCGGAAGGAACACCUGUGGCGAAAGCGAUGCACUGGACCUCUUCUGACGCUGAGGCGCGAAAGCCAGGGUAGCGAACGGGAUUAGAUACCCCGGUAGUCCUGGCCAUAAACGAUGGGGACUAGAGAGUAGAUGCUCCGAUGUGUUUACUCUCGAAGCAAAAGUGGUAAGUCCCCCACCUGGGGAGUAUGGUCGCAAGGCUG
rnacentral:rRNA from 1 species